AGCAAAGGUAAAAACCAUGUGUUGGAGCAGCAUUUUCAUCCUGACAUGUGCUGCCUUUAUUCAAGGAUCAAGCAGUCAGGUCACUGUGACUCAGACUCCUUCAAUGAAAGCUGCCAAUGUAGGAGGAUCUGUCAGUCUGGCAUGCAGACUGAGUCAACCUGCUUCUACUGGUUGUGAUAGUGGCAGGAGACCCUGUUUCUACUGGUACCAACAGAAACCAGGAGAAACUCCUAAACUCCUCAUUUACUGGACAAACACUCUUCAGUCAGGAACUCCAUCGAGGUUUAGUGGCAGUGGGUCUGGGACUGACUUCACCCUGACCAUCAGUGGAGUCCAGGCUGAGGAUACAGCAGUUUACUACUGUCAGAGUGAACACAAUAUCAAUAGUCAGGCUGUGUUCACACGGUGA